UUUAUUGGAGAGUUUGAUCCUGGCUCAGGAUGAACGCUGGCGGCGUGCCUAAUACAUGCAAGUCGAGCGAAUGGAUUAAGAGCUUGCUCUUAUGAAGUUAGCGGCGGACGGGUGAGUAACACGUGGGUAACCUGCCCAUAAGACUGGGAUAACUCCGGGAAACCGGGGCUAAUACCGGAUAACAUUUUGAACCGCAUGGUUCGAAAUUGAAAGGCGGCUUCGGCUGUCACUUAUGGAUGGACCCGCGUCGCAUUAGCUAGUUGGUGAGGUAACGGCUCACCAAGGCAACGAUGCGUAGCCGACCUGAGAGGGUGAUCGGCCA
rnacentral:rRNA from 1 species